GACGAACGCUGGCGGCGUGCUUAACACAUGCAAGUCGAACGGAAAGUCCCUGCUUGCAGGCUGCUCGAGUGGCGAACGGGUGAGUAACACGUGGAUGAUCUGCCCUGCACUUCGGGAUAAGCCUGGGAAACUGGGUCUAAUACCGGAUAGGAGCCUUUUUUAGUUUGAUGGUUGGAAAGUUUUUUCGGUGUAGGAUGUGCUCGCGUGCUAUCAGCUUGUUGGUGGGGUAAUGUUCUACCAACGCCGCAACGGGUAGCCGACCUGAGAGGGGGGCCGGCCUCAUCGACAAUGGGACUGGGUCCAGACCCAUACGGGGAGCAGAAGUCGCGAGUAUUGAACAAUGGGGACAAGCCUGAUGCUGCCACGCCGCGGCCGGGAUGACGGACUACGGGUUAUAAGCUUAUUUAGCUAGGAACGAAGCUUUUUGUGACGGUACCUAGAUAAGAAGCACCGGCUAACUACGUG
rnacentral:rRNA from 1 species